rnacentral:rRNA from 1 species
UACGUAGGCAGCGAGCGUUGUUCGGAGUUACUGGGCGUAAAGGGUGUGUAGGCGGUUGUUUAAGUUUGGUGUGAAAUCUCCCGGCUCAACUGGGAGGGUGCGCCGAAUACUGAAUGACUUCGAGUGCGGGAGAGGAGAGUGGAAUUCCUGGUGUAGCGGUGAAAUGCGUAGAUAUCAGGAGGAACACCUGCGGUGUAGACAGCAUGCUGGACCAUUUCUGACGCUGAGGCACGAAAGCGUGGGUAGCAAACAGG